GCCAUCGCCUCCAUCCUCCUCGCGCGCCCCCAGCCUCGCCACCACCAAUCCCCGCAGCCGUCGUCCGCCCCCUCCUUCCACGCCACGAGCUCCUCCUACUCCAUCCCAGAGCGCCCCUUCCCAUCCUGCCCAUUCCCUCGCGAGUAGCAGCAGCGCCGGCGGCUAAUGCAGGAGAGAGAAGGAGGCAUCACCAAGGAUCCAGGCUGAUGCGGAGAGAGAGAGGAGGCGGCGUCGUCAAGGAGCGGCUCGAGAUCGGCAUCCUCUAGACCCAUCUCUGCACCUCAACUCCCAAGCCAAUUUCAGACAGGAGGAUUUUAAGAUUUGCUGGUGAUUGGCCAUCUCCACUUGGAAAACACUAUUUGAAGAGAGAGGUUAUUUCAUGAAAGCAAAAGCGGGAUGGAGGGGAAGAUUGACCUAUGUGAUAUUCAUUCCCCUCGAUUAAUUUUAUUUUCUGAAAAUUGGCUCAAACUAUCUGACUUACAUGUACACUAUAUUGCCUCUUGAUUUUGUGACUUUUCUAUGCAAGCUAUUAUUGUCUAAACAGAUGCGUUAUUUAUGCUAGGCUUUUUGAGACAAUCGUCAAUGGGAGAAGCUGCUAAUGAAUUCCUUUAUAGUGCUUUGGACGUGAACUCAUGGUGGUGAUUGAUUUCAAAUGAAAAUUUUCAAGCUGAAAUUAAGUACACAAGCAGCUAAAUUUUGUUUCCAUGAUUUUAUUGUACUUCUCUGAUAUUUUUUUCAUGAUUGCCGAUUGCAGCUUCGACUGUCAUAAAAAUUACGAUGCUCUUCCCAGGGUUCUUGCAAUCUUCACUUUCAGCUUGAGUUGUUAGCCUUCAAAAUUCUUGGAAUAAGAAAAAAAAAGGCUCUCCCUGGAGAUAGCUGCAAUUGAGGUACCUUGGGUACAUAAGCUCAUUUAUUUUCAUUGGCUGGUAUUUCUAAUUUUUUUAACUUCUACUGCAUAGUAAAAUAAUCAUAUAGGUGCCAUGCUUCUUUGCGUUAUUUGUGACCAAAAAUAAUCUAAAUCUAUAUCCUUUAAAGUUGUUUUGGGUCAGCCAUAUCUUUGAUUGUAUUACUGCUCACCUUGGUCAAUUUAAUUCCAGCGGUUUGAGAAGGAGAAGGAUCUUCUAAACAAUAGGUGUAGUAAAAAUGGAGUCUACGGUUAAGCUAAACUAAUACCCUUGCUGGACAUUGACUAGCUAUGUUGUUGACGAGUAUAACAAAUUUCCAGGGUACAAGAUUCAAGCCGAAAUAUUACAAGAUUCCAGGGCAGUUGUUGCUAGCUUAUAAACUGGUUUUUCUAGCAAUUUAGAAUAAUUAAAUUAUGGCACCUUGGUAUCUAAUAAACUGCAUGGCUGGGGUGAGUGGAAAAUAUGUGGUAUGUUCAUUUCUUUACCAAGAUUAUACAUGACAUCAUUUACAUGUAGU